GACGAACGCUGGCGGCGUGCUUAACACAUGCCAGUCGAACGGAAAGGCCCUGCUUUUGUGGGGUGCUCGAGUGGCGAACGGGUGAGUAACACGUGAGUAACCUGCCCUUGACUUUGGGAUAACUUCAGGAAACUGGGGCUAAUACCGGAUAGGAGCUCCUGCUGCAUGGUGGGGGUUGGAAAGUUUCGGCGGUUGGGGAUGGACUCGCGGCUUAUCAGCUUGUUGGUGGGGUAGUGGCUUACCAAGGCUUUGACGGGUAGCCGGCCUGAGAGGGUGACCGGCCACAUUGGGACUGAGAUACGGCCCAGACUCCUACGGGAGGCAGCAGUGGGGCAUAUUGCACAAUGGGCGGAAGCCUGAUGUAGCAACGCCGCGUGCGGGAUGACGGCCUUCGGGUUGUAAACCGCUUUCGCCUGUGACGAAGCGUGAGUGACGGUAAUGGGUAAAGAAGCACCGGCUAACUACGUG
rnacentral:rRNA from 1 species